UACGGGGGGGGCAAGCGUUGUUCGGAAUUACUGGGCGUAAAGGGCUCGUAGGUGGCCAACUAAGUCAGACGUGAAAUCCCUCGGCUUAACCGGGGAACUGCGUCUGAUACUGGAUGGCUUGAGUUUGGGAGAGGGACGCGGAAUUCCAGGUGUAGCGGUGAAAUGCGUAGAUAUCUGGAGGAAUACCGGUGGCGAAGGCGGGUCUCUGGGCAACAACUGACGCUGAGGAGCGAAAGCGUGGGGAGCGAACAGG
rnacentral:rRNA from 1 species